CCACAAAUUAAGGCAAAAGAGCUUAUGAUAAACUCACAAUGCAAAUUACUAAAUUUGCUAGCAAACAAAAAUAGCAACGAAAAUCGAGCUAACAUGCAUGGAUACAAUACAUUAGAUAUAUGACUCGUUUCUUCUUCUCCAGUAAUUUAUCUCCUUCUCAAUUAUAAGUUAUGUAAAAAUCAUCUAUACAAAAUUCGUUAGAAAUUCUACAAAUGCAAGUAAAAUUACUCUAUACAUGAUGACAGAAGAAGUUAUGUGUUCCUCAAAGUUGG
rnacentral:lncRNA from 1 species